CGAGCUCGCAACUUUCCUGUUAGCUAGGACCUGAGCCAGUACAGAUGCAAUAUCGCCUCCACCUUCACCAACGGCAGAGUCAAGACACUGGCUAGGGUUGGCAGAAUCCUCCUCAGGCUGGGACCAUACCUUUGCAGCCCCCCGAAAGCAAGA